UCGCUUAAUAAAGCUUCAUGUUUUCUUUUUUUUUCAUCACAAGAGAAAACCUAGAAACAACCACAUGUUAUUGAUGCAAUCAACCUUUGUACUUCAAUAAUUUUCUACAACAAACUUCAUACUAAUGGAAGGUUUGGAUUAUUGGAUCUACUUGUCAGCAAGAGUAACAUUUUUAAUAGCUAUAUAUUUGCUUACCGAGGUUAAAUUGGAGCAAUACAUACCCGAGGGAAUUAUAGCAGUUGUCAUAGGAAGGGUCAGCAAAGCCUUUCGGCCAUAUCUAUCAGAUAGAUUGCCAAUCAAAGGAGUUAUCAUGAGAGUUCCCAACCCUGUGAUC
rnacentral:lncRNA from 1 species